rnacentral:lncRNA from 1 species
CAUUGGCAUGGGAAGUGGCGGUACCAAGUGUGGUUAUCGGGAACUAGAUUUGCCGCAACACGCCGUCGUCGGUCGAAGGACACAACGGGACCCAUCGGCGAACAUUUCGGUCUGUAUCAAUCGCGGUGACCUCUCUAGGAAUUCCUCUUACCGGGGAUCGGCCGUCUUGGGAAGGUGGUGCAGGUCGCAAAGACCGGACCGAAGUCGGUGGGGACGGCUUGGGUAAAAGCCGAGGGAACAGCGGUGCCAGAUGUAGUCGCAACUUUGCGAUUCACUCAGCAGCUCUCUUCGAAAACAUCUUCAACGGUCUGUAGAUCUCUUUGGUCUAUCGACGAUAC